CCAGACUCCUACGGGAGGCAGCAGUGGGGAAUAUUGCACAAUGGGGGGAACCCUGAUGCAGCGACGCCGCGUGAGUGAAGAAGUAUCUCGGUACGUAAAGCUCUAUCAGCAGGGAAGAAAAUGACGGUACCUGACUAAGAAGCCCCGGCUAACUACGUGCCAGCAGCCGCGGUAAUACGUAGGGGGCGAGCGUUAUCCGGAAUUACUGGGUGUAAAGGGAGCGUAGACGGCGAGGUAAGCCUGAAGUGGAAGCCCGCGGCCCAACCGCGGAACUGCUUUGGGAACUGUUUUGCUGGAGUAUGGGAGGGGUAAGCGGAAUUCCUGGUGUAGCGGUGAAAUGCGUAGAUAUACGGAGGAACACCAGUGGCGAAGGCGGAUUGCUGGACAGUAACUGACGCUGAGGCGCGAAAGCGUGGGGAGCAAACAGGAUUAGAUACCCCUGUAC
rnacentral:rRNA from 1 species